rnacentral:tRNA from 1 species
CGCGGAGUAGAGCAGUCCGGUAGCUCGUCGGGCUCAUAACCCGGAGGUCGCAGGUUCAAAUCCUGUCUCCGCUA